rnacentral:rRNA from 1 species
UACGGGGGGGGCAAGCGUUGUUCGGAAUUACUGGGCGUAAAGGGCUCGUAGGCGGCCAACUAAGUCGGAUGUGAAAUCCCUCAGCUUAACUGGGGAACUGCGUCCGAUACUGGAUGGCUUGGAUUUGGGAGAGGGAUGCGGAAUUCCAGGUGUAGCGGUGAAAUGCGUAGAUAUCUGGAGGAACACCGGUGGCGAAGGCGGCAUCCUGGACCAAUAUUGACGCUGAGGAGCGAAAGCUAGGGGAGCAAACGGG